GUCUGUGUUCUCCUGGAACUGGACAAGAAAGGUCAGUUUCUUGGAGGGCAAAGAGUGAUCGAUGCCAGUUUAGUCUGGAAGGGUAAGAGGCUGAAAUCUCUAUGGUUAGCAACUUGGAAACCUGAUCUGGAGUGAAAGGCUGGAAAUAAGAAGGUCUCUAACCAUGAGAGGAGGGAGGUUUUGGAACAGCCUCCUAACAGGACUAGAAGGGGCAAGAAACCUACCUGGUUUUAAGAUGGAGCUGGAUAAAUUUAUGAAUGGCUUUAUAUGAUGUGGAUGCCUUCAACAGCAGGGGACUGCACUCUGACUCAGGAGUCCUUGCCAGUCCCAUGUUCUUAUGAAUGGAAAAUGCCUAGCAGUAAACCUCAGAGUUGAAGGCUUAUUUGGGCCCCAGGAGUUUGGAUGAAUCUCUGCAUACUGCAGCAUCAGGAUGGAGGUUUCAGAAGGACAGCCUUUCUCAGGGCAUCUUGAAAUGUCCGUGGAAGCAUAAAAGUGAAUAAGCCACAGGAUUGACUACAUGGUGUGGCCUAGUGGAUAGAGCUCAACUGAGACUCAGGAGACCUGCAUUCUAAGCCUAGCUCUGACUUUAGGAAAGUCACUUCACCUCACUGUGCCUCAGUUUCCUCAUCUUUAAAAUCAGGAAACAUCUGUCCAAGUGGGAGCCUGCCUUUGCUUAAGAGCCCCUCUGAGAAAUUCUACUCCUAAAUUAUUGGGAGCUCCCAGCAGAUCCAGGUUGAUUUGUGUGUGUGCGCACACUCCCUGGCAAGGUGAAGCUCAGCCAUGUGUUUCUGUUUAGAGGAAGUUGGCCUGACAGUUCCAGCCCUCCUCCUCGGUGGGAAACGCUGGGUUCCAAAGCCCUGGAAACGUGUGAAGGCUGCAAUUUGACUCCCUUGGCUUCCACUUCCCGGCAGAAAAAGAACCACUGGUGCCAAAAUUCAAUCCUCCCGGGGAGGCUGGAAAUAUUUAGGACACCGUCCAAGGAUCAAUAAAAUAAAGAACAGGCCAGGAUUGUUGGGCUCCUUCAAACAAUAAAUUCCCAGCCCUGGGGAUGCAGCGGCGGUGAGGAAGGCCAGUCCAGAAGGCCGAAGUCGCCAUGAUUCUUGGGGCAUCACGGUCGUGCUGGAGAAUUCAGGCCCCGAUUCCUUAGAAAGCCUGUUGCUGUAGAAGGGGAGAGACAUGAUGUUGAGUUAAUGCUGGACACACCCUGGGAACGAGGCGGAGAAACGGGCUUUUCCCAAAACCUUUGAGGAUAUGGAGCCUGAACGGGUCUGGAGAUUAUAAUCCAGAAUUUGCAUUAUUUGCCACUGUCCUUCCUCCAGCUAGGAGAUCUGCGCCCAGGGAGAAAUUGACAGGAGUUGGAGCUUCUCUAAGGAAUGGCUGUCCCAGAGGCAAUGGAGGGAACCAACACGAGAAAGAAGGCUCCUGGAAUAUGCUGCACGGCUGCCAAACAUCAACAUGUGUGACCAUAAAACGCAGCCCCAGGAAGCGGAAUGCGAUAAUCUCGAACCUGAAAUUGUGAGCCAGGGGAGGUGAGAGCAGGACCGAAUCAACAAAGGGUGGAUGUUAAAGGAAGGCCAAAUAGGACCACUGAGCAACCUGGGACUUACAAGGGAUGGUGUAUGGAGAGCACAGUGAUGCUUCAGCAGAGGAAGGAGAUUGGAGAAAUCUCUCUCUUUCUCUGGUCGAAGAAUCUGUCUCCCUCGGCUGACGUUUUGAGCGACUUGUUGGUUGAGCCCAGCUGCAGAAGAGCUUGUGAUGAGCCAUCUCCGCUCUCCCCGGCCCAAAAGAUGCUGUCGUAGUGACUUGGUGCCUCCAGAGACCAAGAGGUUCACAGGAGAACUUAACCUUACAUGAAAAGCAUCAACGCAUGUGAACAAAUAUGCAGGGCUGCUAAACUGCAGAGUGAACUAACAGCUCCCUGGAGAUCCAUGUGAGCUGAACCCUAAAGGGCAGCUGGCCAGGGAUUUAUCCCCACAACUACUUAAAAAUCAAACAUUUCUAUUUUUGGGGAGGAGGGGGGAAGCCCUUCUGGGUGAAGUUUAAUGCAGAUGAAUGUGAGACGGCUGGUGGGACUCAUACCAGGCGGAGAUUAGAAAGGGUCCAUGUCACGGUUUUGCUUUCUUCUGUUCCUCUCCUGCCAUGCAGCUCAGAUGAUACACCUCAUUGCUGCCUGGCAGCAUCCUAGGCUGUUGUUUCAAUCCUUCGCCCUUCGGCAACCUGGUUAAUGCCCCUCUGUUCUGACCUGCAGCAGCCGCGUUCUGUCUCAGGCUGGGCAGAAGAGUGCAGCGAUGCCGUCAAAGUGGCAGGAAAGGGGGGUUGAGCUUUGGCAUUCCUGCUUGGACUCGAAUGAGAAGCAGCAGGUGUGGAGAGAAGGGAGAGGCAGUGAGUGAUAAAUUCAAGAGAGGAUCAAAGACCCGGACAAGAGAUUUUAGUUGCAGAGGGGAAAGAGUUGGAUUUUAGAGACACGAAAGAAGUGACAGGACUUCACGAGGGACAGACUAUGCGGGGAGAAGGCGAGAGCUGGAAGUCGGCCGUGGAGUUGUCAGUGGUGACAGAGAAGGGCAGCUUGGGAUGAGGAGAAGAGUUUUCAGGUUUGAAGCGAGGGUGGCAGCAUGUCUGGUGUGCCAAGCUGGUGAGAAAGUGGCAGGUGGGUAAUGGAGAGGUUGAUGCUGUAGAUAACACUCUGGGAACAAGAUCUAAAUGGAAAGAGCUGUAGGUAGAGUUGGCAGGGACUGGAGGUGCAAAGGUCUAUCAGGAGAAGCGUGAAUGGAGGGAAGGGAUUGACCUUAAAGUGAAGGAUCUCAGCAGAGUUCGAGCAAGAGUAGAGGGAGCGAAUGCUGUGGGUUAGAGGCACAGAGGAAGCAAGAGGCUAGACUGUACAUCAACAGGAGAAACUGAUUCAGUGUCACUUUCCACACGAUUUCAGCUAGGGACUCGUCUCCAGCUUUCCUGACCCUGCACCCCCGCUAUUCCUCUCUCCCCACCCUUCCAACCAGCCUCCUUUCUGACCUGCAGUGACCCUGGUCAAGGCAGGUCGAAACAUUUUCCAUCGACCCUUUUAACUUUUUUUAACGGGAAAUUGGAUUUUCGACUGAACGGGAAAUGGUUGCAGAAAGUGCCUGCUUUAAUUGAGAGAAAUCCAAAUGCUUUUUGUUGGGAAACUGAAAAUUAGCAUCUGAAGGGCACUGAAAUGAAAGUGCUUUUCACUGCCAAAAAUGGAGAGGGGGAAAAAAAAGAUUAGUUUCUGUGUUCAAUGUGUCUUAUCUGUGGGAAGCUUCCUUCACAAGGGUAGAUCAGCCUGGUGUGGGCUUCAAACUUGAACCACCCAAGCCCCGGCUGGCUUUGCUUUUACCCCAAACUUGGGCUGGAAAGACCUAGCACUGCUCUUUGGCCUGAAGCCCCUAACCAACCUCUGAGGAGAUGAUCAGCUGGUGCAACCGCCAGGGGGACGCUUGAAGCUGGAUCUUGGUGCGGGGGUCGGGGGGAAGCAGAUAGUGACAAACGUUCAGUGAAUCCCAACAGCCCCAGGGCAGAGGCAGCGGGUCUAGAGUAGGGAGGAUGUGCGAUCAUUGCCUUACCUGGUUCUUCAAACCUCCAGGGAAAGGGCGGCCAAACAGCCUGAGACUUAACAGACCCCGCUUCUAUCAAUUUCUCUCUCACAAGUUUCCUUGGGCAAGUCGCUUAGUCACCCAGUGUCUCAAUUCUUAUCCCUCUGCCUGUCCAGAUCCACCCCAGGACAGAGGCUUUUUAUGGCCUGUGUUUGUACAGUGCAAGCACAAUGUCUGGUUCGUGUCUGGGGCCCAUAGGUGUGGCUAUGAUACAAAUAAAUAACAAUCAGAGUGGUGAUGCUGCGUUUGCAUUUGCGCCCCAUUCUCCGCUAUCACCUGCAGUCGCUGUGGGGAGCUGAGAGAUCCACACUCUUGGCAGACCGAUUGCAUCCCUUGGCUUCUGGCACUGGAGAAAGCCAGGUGUCGCCCCAGUUUAAUUUGUUUUAAAUUAAUUUGCAGAGGGGGGAGCUGGAGGAGGCUGAAAGGUGAAAAGGGCUUUUCCUGGAGCCUUGCCAACUGGGAAAUAUCCUUUGCAACUUCUUUGUGAAAGCUCUGGUGGCUUCCCAGGGAGGGAGACCUAAAUUCUAUUCAAUUAGGGGUAAUAAAGGCCCAUGUUUUCCUGCCUCCUAAUCCCCAGCAAGGUUGGGAAUUUACAUGGGCAAUCAGUUAAUCCAUCUACCACUCUCAUCGCCAGCCCCUCUGACGCAUGGUUUUGCUUUCUCAAGCCAGCACACAGGAGCAGAAAGCUUCAGGUUAGAAGGACCGGGCAGGCUUUACGGUGAGGCUUGCCCACCAAAGUAGCCUGAGUUGGAUAUUCUGCAAUGCGAUUGUUCAGUCCCUGAUCAUACAUCUGGGGCCUUUCUUCCAGGGAGACCUCUUUCCAGGGUGAAAAGAAGCACCAUUCAUCAAUUCCAAGGCCAGCAGGGACCCCGUGAUCAUCCAGUCUAAUCUCCUGCAUAACACAGGCCAGAGAACUUCAUCAGAAUAAUCCCUAUUUGAAUUAGUGCAGAUCUUUCCAAAAACUGUCCAAUCUUGAUUUAAAAACUGCGAGUGGUGGAGAAUCUACCACAGCCCUUGGUAAAAUUGUUCUAGUGGUUAAUUACUCACCCUCACAGUUAAAAAUGUACACAUUGUUUCUAGUCUGAGUUUGUCUAGCUUCAACUUCUAGCUUUUGGAUCCUGUUAGAUCUUUGCCUGCUUGACUGAACUAUUUGUAGGUUAUGAACUGGAAUCAAGUCACUCCUUAAUCUUCUCUUUCCCCCCCCCGCCCCCCUCCCCCAGCUAAAUAGAGUGAGUUCCUUGAGCCUUUCACUACUAAGGCACCAUCAUAGGCAGAAAGCAUCAGCUGGGAAAGGUCGGCCCAAUCUUGGGUGGACUGAAUCCAGGGUUAGAAGUGAAUGGUUCUUGGGUUUGAAUCCUGGCUCUGCCACAACUUCCUGUGUUCUCCGAGUCAUGUUGCUGCUCGGUGCCUCAGUUUCCCUAUCUGGAAAAGGGUGAUAAUGCUGCUUCCCUACCUUAUCUGUUAAUGUUUGUGCACCGCUUGGGAAAUAUAGCAUGUCCCACAAAUGCUAAAGAUUAUUUUGUAACAGAUCCAUGACCAUCUAGAACAUCACAGCAGUCACUAUGCUGUAUGGUGUGAACAUCCUGACAGCAAGGUAGAUAGUUCCCAUAUUCUCCUGCUCUAUGAAGCACAAGCUCCCUCUACAACUGAACUUAAAAGUGACUCUCCAUUAGCUAUGAGCUGUAUAGGGCCUAUGACACACCGUUGAGCAAUUCUCAUUCUGAUCAGUAGAAGACAGCAGUGACACAUGCUAGCCAAUUAGUUACAACGCAGAUGCCAAAGGGUGUUGACUGUUGUUGAAUUUCACACACACACACGCCACGCUAUGUGAGUGAGGCAUGAGAUGGGACUGACACGGGAGACAAGUAGGGUCGGGAAGAAGGAUGAUGCCAGACCUUGCCUCUAUGCAGGCACUAGAGAAAGCCGUCCAUGUGCUCCAAAAGUCAGAGGGCUGGCGAGACAAACACAGCUGCAGAUAAAGGGAAGGGAAUGGUAUCAACAAAGCAGGGCAUUGACUUAGUCUCUGUUGCAAGGAAGUUGGUGUAAGCACCUCAGAGUUGAAAUAGGCCUGUGAUCUUGGAAAGGUCUCCCUCCCGACUAGUUCUCUAGUUCAUCGGUAUCUUCUAGGAUAAGACUGUGUUGUGGUCCAAAAGGCCUGUCAAGAGAGGCGGCUCUCAGCCAGACCAUGGUCUGAGAAGAACCAGGGCGCUGUUUGUCUUUGGGAGACUCCUCCCUUGCGGUGAUAGCAGUGGGGAAUUGUUGGUACGGGUCUCUGCGGUGCAGCCACAGCCCCCCAGCCGGGGACUGCACGGGUUUCAUGGAGUGGGCUGUGAAGGGAGGCGAGAAACACCCAGAGUCUCAGUGCAGGGAUCCCCCCGCGCUCACGCAUGAAACAAGCGCUGCUGUAUUUCAAAGGAGCUGUGGGUGGAAGCUUUGCAGGGGUGAACUAGGCUUUGCUGGGCCCCGGAGAAGGAGUGAGAAUGAGAUGGGGAAAAGGGAUUUCUCAGCUGCAGGGGCAUUCCCGGGGGGAGAUGACUUCUUGUUUGACAAGCACAGACCAGCGUGCCAGGAACUGAGGGAAAGUCGUUUGAUAAUGUGAGCUGAGGGCCGGGCGGAGAAUGUCACUGGCCUGAUUGGUGAAGCAUUGAGGCUUCCCAGCUGCUUCAUCCCAUGGGCCGUAAACAAGGGAGUCUCUGGGAUCCAUCCACAGCUGCUUUGAUACUGGACUGUAACCUCAGGGCUGGGGUCCAGUAAUUCCCAUCUGCUUUAGCCCAUGGACAGUAGAAGGAAAAGGAUGCUUUCAGUCCCUAGUAUCAGACAGAUCUGGGUUCAACAGAGCCCUGGGGCGGACAACAGGGGCCCUGGAUUGAGCCAGUGCCUGGCUCCUAUGCGCAGAAUUCCCCCGACUCACCACCCUCUGCAGCAUCCCCCCCCCCCCCCCCUGUCAUUGACACGAAGCGUCGCAUGACUGUCCCUGCUGGUUCCCAGCCCGGGGGCAGAGAUCGCCAUCUGUUCCUUCCUCACCACGGCUCUCUCUUCAUUAGGGACUUUGCCACGAUCACCUCUCUGCUGCGGUUAUCGUCUCACUAACCCCAGUCUGGCGCUCAUUUCUCCAUCUCCUUCACCACCCCAUCCAGCUUGCUACCACCCCCACUGUUGUCAUCCUUGCAGCCGUGUGCUGACACAUCACAAAGCAGCCUCUUGGUUCGCCUUAAACAAAGGAGUGAUUUCCAGGGAAGGGGGAGAGAGCUAGCCAGCCUGGAUGCUGCUCUGCCACUCCCCUUCUCAGCAUUGCUUUGUCUCUAGAGGAGUUAAUGAAAGCCAGGUGCAGGCUAGAACAUGAAUUGCAACAGUGCACAUGUGUCUGUUUCCAGGCAUCAGGUGUUCUAGUUAAUUCAUAGGCCACAGAAUUGUAUAAUUAACUCUUCAGCGGCUGAAUAAAAAAUAUAGUGCAAAAGUCGUCCCGCUCUAUCGCAUGUCUAAUUACCACCCUUACCAUUUGCCCUGUGCGGUGUGCAAUCAUUCACACCCGUGCAAAAUAGCUGCAACGUGCUCGCAGUCCAACCUGGUGGCAUUCUGUGCUGGGGCAAAGACUAUACAAGCUGGAGUGUGGUGAAUCGAGACUCAUGGCCUCUUUCCUUUCCCAUUAUUGUCCCUCGCCCACUGUUGCCAUCAGCAUCAAUGUGUCUGUCGCUCUUGCUGUCCUCACUGAUGCAUGGCGCGAAUGCUGCCCGGUGGGGUUGCUGUGUCUGUGGGGCCCACCUUUAAUGGGCUACUCAGCGCAUCAGCUCUCUCCUCUUUGAAAGAGGCCCAGGCUUCCAGAGGAGGUCAGCACAGAGUAAUUAUGGGGAGGAUGGGGUUUCAGAGGAGGCUGUGAUUUAAGAACGACUCUGAUCCAUUAUUAUCUCAAGCCAUGAUAAUAAACUCAAGACGGGCACUUUGUCCCCCUAGAAACCUCUCGGUGAAAGGCAGGAUGGGCAAAUGGGAGGCAUGAGAUGAAAUGAGGAGGUCCCCCGGGAGCCAGGGCUGCAGCGCUCUUCCUGGAGCUGAUCUUUCAUAAUUGGGUUUCUAGAUGCCGCCCGCUCAGCGCACUCCUCCUCCAGACUCCUUGGGCCUAAUUUCAUAACGUGGCCGCUGAUGGUGGGAACAGAAGACAGAGUAACAUCAUUCCCAGUAACACUAUCGCCUCCCAUUUGAUCUGUGAGAGAGGCACAUAACAAUCAGAAUUAGGAAGUCGGAGAUAAAGUUACCCUGAUUUGGUCCAUGGAUGGAAAAGAUUUACCUCUGAAAGCAGGAAAUUUCAUACGCUUAAAAGUAUAUAUAAUGUGUAAACAGUGUUCAAGCUUUUAAAUGCCUUCUGGCCCCUACUGAUUCACAAGCAAACGGGUCCAGGCAGAGGGCCAGGGAGGGAUUCCUCAGAUUGGAUCGAUUUUGAUGUCGCUUUUCAAGUCCCAUUUUUGAUUUCUCUGUGUGUGUGGCUGUGUAAAAGGCUUGCUGAGAAACUCAAAACCCUGUGAAACUUGCCAAGGUUUGGAGAUUAUGGUGAGCACUAAACUCAGAGCAGAUUUGCACAGACGGUUCAGUAAAGUUCAGCGGCCUUUGGAGCAGAGUUAGACUCAAAACGGGGGCUGAGUUGUUGCAAAUCAGCUUAUUUUAUGUAGUUUGGGGAAGGGUUGGUCAAAGAGCGGAAUGACAAACCUGAUCUCUGAAAACGUUCCCAAGAAAGGAGCUGAUUUUGCCAAGGGGUGUGUGUGUGGGCGGGGUCACAUUCUGGGUGUCUGUCCAGCCACCCCCUGGGUUUUUGUUAAUAGUGAGUGUUGCACAGAUGUUUGGUUGAUAGAGAAUUCAUGUAAGAGGUUGGUCAUUUGUCAUUCUCCUCUUUAAAAAAAUAGUAAGUUUGUCAACCAAUCGGGGAGCAAAUAAAAACCAAAUAAAAUAAAAUAAAAUUCAACCACGUGUUAUAAACGAAGGAUAAAGCUCUACACUGUUUGGGUCCUGUAUAUGACCCUGGUAUCUGAGCCCUUCACAAUCUUUAAUGGGUUUAUCCUCACAAUCCCCCUGUGAGGUAGGGCAAUUAUCCCAUUGUAAUGAGGGGAAACUGAGGCAUAGGGAGACUGGGUAACAUGCCCAAGGUCAUGCAAGAAGCCUGUGGUAGUGUAAGGACUUGAACUCUCAACUUUCAAGCCCAAGUGUCUGAGAUGGGUCAGAACCCAGGUCUCCACAGUCCUAGUUGAGUGUGCUGUCCACUAGGCCACAUUGUCUCCACCUCAGUAUCAUUCCACCCCACCAUGAUUAUUCUUUAUUACUUGUAAUGCAGUAGUUCCUAGGAGUCCCAGUCAUGGCCCAGAACAAAAAGACGGGCCCUGCCCCAAAGAACCUGUUCAGAGAGCACAAUUCUUCACUAAUUUUUCACUACAAUCAGUUGGCUUUUUUGAGCCCUUAUUACAAUAUGCUCCCAUUUAGCCGAAACCCUAUUGUGCAAACCCCAUCUUAUCUGAAUCCCUUCCUAGUCCCCCAGCACAAGCUAUAGGGGGAUUGAUGCCUUCUACAGCACGUAUCUCAUGCAAGGGGACAUGGGAGGGAUAUCACAGAGGUUUUGGAUAAGAGAGCAGAAACCACCAGCCAGGACUGCGUGGAGAAGGGGGACCACAACAAGCCCAUGGCUGCGGAGCAGGUCACUGCAGCCCCCUACUCUCAUCACUGGAGUGAAUGAGU